rnacentral:rRNA from 1 species
UACGGGGGGGGCAAGCGUUGUUCGGAAUUACUGGGCGUAAAGGGCCAGUAGGCGGCCAACUAAGUCGAACGUGAAAUCCCCGGGCUCAACCCGGGAACUGCGUCCGAUACUGGGAGGCUUGAAUCCGGGAGAGGGAUGUGGAAUUCCAGGUGUAGCGGUGAAAUGCGUAGAUAUCUGGAGGAACACCGGUGGCGAAGGCGGCAUCCUGGACCAGCACUGACACUGAGGCACGAAAGCGUGGGGAGCAAACAGG